rnacentral:rRNA from 1 species
UGGUGACUAUAGCAAGGAGGUCACACCUGUUCCCAUGCCGAACACAGAAGUUAAGCUCCUUAGCGUCGAUGGUAGUCGAACUAAAACGUGAAAAGAGCGCAACGAGUU